GCUUGUCUCAAAGAUUAAGCCAUGCAUGUCUAAGUAUAAACAACUUUAUACGGUGAAACUGCGUACGGCUCAUUAUAUCAGUUAUUAUUUAUUUGAUGGUCCUUUACUACAUGGAUAACUGUAGUAAUUCUAGAGCUAAUACAUGCACAAAAUCCCGACUUCUGGAAGGGAUGUAUUUAUUAGAUAAAAAACCAACGUCGGUUCUGCCGGCUUCUUUGGUGACUCAUAGUAACUGUUCGAACCGCAUGUCUUUGACGGCGGUAGUUCAUUCAAAUUUCUGCCCUAUCAGCUUUCGAUGGUAGUGUAUUGGACUACCAUGGCAGUGACGGGUAACGGAGAAUUAGGGUUCGAUUCCGGAGAGGGCGCCUGAGAAAUGGCGACCACAUCCAAGGAAGGCAGCAGG
rnacentral:rRNA from 1 species